UACAGAGGGGGCAAGCGUUGUUCGGAAUUACUGGGCGUAAAGCGUGCGCAGGCGGCUUUGCAAGACAGAUGUGAAAUCCCCGGGCUUAACCUGGGAACUGCAUUUGUGACUGCAAGGCUGGAGUGCGGCAGAGGGGGAUGGAAUUCCGCGUGUAGCAGUGAAAUGCGUAGAUAUGCGGAGGAACACCGAUGGCGAAGGCAAUCCCCUGGGCCUGCACUGACGCUCAUGCACGAAAGCGUGGGGAGCAAACAGG
rnacentral:rRNA from 1 species